rnacentral:rRNA from 1 species
AUUGAACGCUGGCGGCAGGCCUAACACAUGCAAGUCGAACGGAUGAAGGGAGCUUGCUCCUGGAUUCAGCGGCGGACGGGUGAGUAAUGCCUAGGAAUCUGCCUGGUAGUGGGGGAUAACGUCCGGAAACGGGCGCUAAUACCGCAUACGUCCUGAGGGAGAAAGUGGGGGAUCUUCGGACCUCACGCUAUCAGAUGAGCCUAGGUCGGAUUAGCUAGUUGGUGGGGUAAAGGCCUACCAAGGCGACGAUCCGUAACUGGUCUGAGGGGAUGAUCAGUCACACUGGAACUGAGACACGGUCCAGACUCCUACGGGAGGCAGCAGUGGGGAAUAUUGGACAAUGGGCGAAAGCCUGAUCCAGCCAUGCCGCGUGUGUGAAGAAGGUCUUCGGAUUGUAAAGCACUUUAAGUUGGGAGGAAGGGCAGUAAGUUAAUACCUUGCUGUUUUGACGUUACCAACAGAAUAAGCACCGGCUAACUUCGUG